CAAACGACUCUCGGCAACGGAUAUCUCGGCUCACGCAUCGAUGAAGAACGUAGCAAAAUGCGAUACUUGGUGUGAAUUGCAGAAUCCCGUGAACCAUCGAGUUUUUGAACGCAAGUUGCGCCCGAAGCCAUUCGGCCGAGGGCACGUCUGCUUGGGCGUCACG
rnacentral:rRNA from 1 species